rnacentral:rRNA from 1 species
AUGCCCAUGCAAUACUGGUCCAUCGAGGGGGCGCAGGAGGUGCUCGGCAACAAGGUGUGCGUCGACCGCCUCGACAGCCGCACUCUGGAGCGCGGCCACACCAAGACCUUCGCGUGCUGGGUCUGGGUGUGGGACAUGGCGUUCAUCCCGACAAGGCACACCUACGAGCUGCCCCGUGGCACGGGGCGCGUCGAGGAGAUGGACGGCUUUUCGCCGCCAGAUCGCCGGGUGGCUCUUCCUCCGGGCGCGACGCGGUUCGAUCUUCUCAUCCACGUCGACCGCAUUGAAGACUGG